GUCAACACCGGUUUCGUAUUUUCACGUGAAAUCGGCCGAAAACUGAGAGGUUAUCAACAAAUUAUAAGUUUACGGGUACCAUGAGGACUUUUCAUGCAUUUAAACGACAGAAGUACAAGCGAACAGAUGACACAUUGAAGUGGCUGCAGAAGCUUGAAAAGUUAGAUAGAGCAGGGACAGUCAAAACUGUGGGAUAAUACUUCUAUGUAUUUUCUUUUUAAAGGCAAUUUAUACAGGAUGGUGUCCAGCAUGUCUAGUCAGGUUGACAGAAGUGAAAGAUGGUCUGAUGGUACAAUGAUGUACAAAUGAUACUCUUUAACAACUUUAACUUGCCAAAGUGUAAAAUGUUCUGUGGAUUCAUAUGAUGAGAAUGCCAAUGUUGAUCUGUAUGACUUAAUUAAACACAGAUAUUUAUACCUUCAGGUAAUUGUUUACAAUAUUCAAAGAGUUACAAUGUAAUUCAGUUAUUGAUUUGGCAUAUAUCACUUCAAGAGG